UAUAAACAUUUUUUUUAUCUCGCCUGCUGCAGCACGUUCGGCAGUUGCUUCUUGUUUCUGCUCAGCCCAGUGGCUCAGCCGCCGCUUUAUCUCCGAGGCGCAUGCGCAGUAGUGGCCAUCCAGAUCAGCCUUUGUCACCAGAGAAAGAAAACAUGUGAGCACAACAACAAAGGAAAGGCAUGUAGAGUGCAAGUUCUGCAAAGUUAAACUCUCCUUUCACAGCAGCAUAUUGGCGAUGCACGAGCACCUUAAACGGAAGCAUGUCAUGGCGGAGAACAAAGAGUCACCUCGUGUUAAUAAACGUGCUCCUCUUCAAUGGAUGAGUUUGUUACGUGCACACCUCAGCAAGCUACUGUCCUGACUGAGGCCAUUGUGAGCAGGCUGGACACAAGCCUCCUGUCCAUGCAGACCCUCAGAGCUGUCGAUGAUCCCCUGACUGCUAACGUGUGGACCAGCCGUGCUACAGAGGCGUACCUUGGUGUCUCCUGCCAUUUCCUGAGUUAAGAUUGGAAGAUGAAGCGCUUAAACCUUGCCACCAUGCCUCUU